rnacentral:rRNA from 1 species
AGUGAACGCUGGCGGUAGGCCUAACACAUGCGAGUCGAACGGCAGCACAGUAAGAGCUUGCUCUUACGGGUGGCGAGUGGCGGACGGGUGAGGAAUACAUCGGAAUCUACUUUUUCGUGGGGGAUAACGUAGGGAAACUUACGCUAAUACCGCAUACGACCUACGGGUGAAAGCAGGGGAUCUUCGGACCUUGCGCGAUUGAAUGAGCCGAUGUCGGAUUAGCUAGUUGGCGGGGUAAAGGCCCACCAAGGCGACGAUCCGUAGCUGGUCUGAGAGGAUGAUCAGCCACACUGGAACUGAGACACGGUCCAGACUCCUACGGGAGGCAGUAGUGGGGAAUAUUGGACAAUGGGCGCAAGCCUGAUCCAGCCAUACCGCGUGGGUGAAGAAGGCCUUCGGGUUGUAAAGCCCUUUUGUUGGGAAAGAAAAGCAGCAGGUUAAUACCCCGCUGUUCUGACGGUACCCAAAGAAUAAGCACCGGCUAACUUCGUG